rnacentral:pre_miRNA from 1 species
GUCAUGUACUUGAAUGGAGGUAGUCCAUGGUGUGUUCAUUCUUAUUAAUGAUGAUUAUUACAUGGCCAAUCUCCUUUCAGUACUAAUCUCUUUCUGG